rnacentral:ncRNA from 1 species
CUCUGGGUCCGCAUGAGGCUCAGGGCAAAAGAG